rnacentral:rRNA from 1 species
GACGAACGCUGGCGGCGCGCCUAACACAUGCAAGUCGAACGAGCGAGAGCGAGCUUGCUUUCUCGAUCGAGUGGCGAACGGGUGAGUAACGCGUGAGGAACCUGCCUCAAAGAGGGGGACAACAGCUGGAAACGACUGCUAAUACCGCAUAAGCCCACGACCCGGCAUCGGGUAGAGGGAAAAGGAGCAAUCCGCUUUGGGAUGGCCUCGCGUCCGAUUAGCUAGUUGGUGAGGUAACGGCCCACCAAGGCGACGAUCGGUAGCCGGACUGAGAGGUUGAACGGCCACAUUGGGACUGAGACACGGCCCAGAAUCCUACGGAAGGCAGCAGUGGAGAAUAUUGCAGAAGGAAGGAAGACCUGAUGCAGCGACGCGGGGUAGAGGAAGAAGGUCGUCGGAAUGUAAACUCCUGUUGUAGGGGGAGAUAAUGACGGUACUCGGCAAGGAAGUAACGGCUAACUACGUG